GGGUUCAGAGCCAAUAUCAAUAUUUUCUUCAUUGUGUUCACUCAUUUUACUUAUUUUCUUUUUAUUUCAAUCGCUCGGUUUUUUUUCUUUGACAUUCUUUUUUUUUCUCCGAGUGUUCUUCCUUCGGUGAGUGCUUCUUUUUGAACCAUCGAGUAUAUCUUGUUUUCUCUUUCUUUUUUUCGACGAUCUUUAUUUCUAUAUAUUUUUUUCUCGCACUCACCUUUGUUUUUGAUACUUAUGGGGUUUACCCCAAACUUAGAAUUUCA
rnacentral:lncRNA from 1 species